GACGAACGCUGGCGGCGUGCUAUACAUGCAAGUAGAACGCUGAAGAGAGGAGCUUGCUCUUCUUGGAUGAGUUGCGAACGGGUGAGUACGCGUAGGUAACCUGCCUUGUAGCGGGGGAUAACUAUUGGAAACGAUAGCUAAUACCGCAUAACAAUGGAUGACACAUGUCAUUUAUUUGAAAGGGGCAAUUGCUCCACUACAAGAUGGACCUGCGUUGUAUUAGCUAGUAGGUGAGGUAACGGCUCACCUAGGCGACGAUACAUAGCCGACCUGAGAGGGUGAUCGGCCACACUGGGACUGAGACACGGCCCAGACUCCUACGGGAGGCAGCAGUAGGGAAUCUUCGGCAAUGGGGGCAACCCUGACCGAGCAACGCCGCGUGAGUGAAGAAGGUUUUCGGAUCGUAAAGCUCUGUUGUAAGUCAAGAACGAGUGUGAGAGUGGAAAGUUCACACUGUGACGGUAGCUUACCAGAAAGGGACGGCUAACUACGUGCCAGCAGCCGCGGUAAUACGUAGGUCCCGAGCGUUGUCCGGAUUUAUUGGGGCGUAAAGCGAGCGCAGGCGGUUUGAUAAGUCUGAAGUUAAAGGCUGUGGCUCAACCAUAGUUCGCUUUGGAAACUGUCAAACUUGAGUGCAGAAGGGGAGAGUGGAAUUCCAUGUGUAGCGGUGAGAUGCGUAGAUAUAUGGAGGAACACCGGUGGCGAAAGCGGCUCUCUGGUCUGUAACUGACGCUGAGCUCGAAAGCGUGGGAGCGAACAGG
rnacentral:rRNA from 1 species